rnacentral:rRNA from 1 species
GACGAACGCUGGCGGCGUGCUUAACACAUGCAAGUCGAACGGAAAGGCCCUGCUUUUGUGGGGUGCUCGAGUGGCGAACGGGUGAGUAACACGUGAGUAACCUGCCCUUGACUUUGGGAUAACUUCAGGAAACUGGGGCUAAUACCGGAUAGGAGCUCCUGCUGCAUGGUGGGGGUUGGAAAGUUUCGGCGGUUGGGGAUGGACUCGCGGCUUAUCAGCUUGUUGGUGGAGUAGUGGCUUACCAAGGCUUUGACGGGUAGCCGGCCUGAGAGGGUGACCGGCCACAUUGGGACUGCGAUACGGCCCAGACUCCUACGGGAGGCAGCAGUGGGGAAUAUUGCACAAUGGGCGGAAGCCUGAUGCAGCAACGCCGCGUGCGGGAUGACGGCCUUCGGGUUGUAAACCGCUUUCGCCUGUGACGAAGCGUGAGUGACGGUAAUGGGUAAAGAAGCACCGGCUAACUACGUG